CUAAGCCCUUUUUGCUGAGGAAGGAAAGAGGUAAAAAUAUCCUUCUUGUCGUCAUCUCACCGCGGCCCUAAACAACGUGCUAAUUAAAAGGCAGACAUAUGAGUGAGCUAUGGCAUGGGCCCAGAAGACAUACACACAUAAUGGAGUUAUCAUGUGGCUUUCAUUGGCAUUUACUCAGCUCUGGGCUGCAGGACUCAUUAUCGUCCGCGGGCUCUGAAGGUGGUGUGGUGACGGUGGGGUGGGGGGCGCUUUUGUCUCCAGAGC